UACUCCAUAUGUUCAUCUCCCUCUCAAAACCCACCAUUUCUGAAACCCUAACCUCCGCCUGGUCUUCCUCUCAAUCUGAAAAACCUAAAUCCCGUGAAGCCUAACCUACUAUUUUCCUAUAUAUCCCCGAAAUCUCUAGAAUCCAGGGAAACCAACCCUAACCUCUUCUUCGUGAGUCAACAACGUAGAUCGAAGAAUUUGGGGAAACUGUAGCUGCUCUCUUCAUCUCUGUCUACAGAUCCAACUCCGAAUCUCUAUCUUCAUCACCAUCAUUAGGUAACGCAUCCUAGCAUCAAAGAGAGAACAGAAGUGUCAAUUGUUUCUUCAGAAUUAUUGAGUUUGAAACGAUCCAAAUCAGGAAGACUACUUUUACCUUCCCUACAUUUCUAGCACAACCAAAAGGCAGUUUAUGAUGCGGUUCGUGAUAUCUUCCUGCC